CCAAUAGCGUAUAUUAAAGUUGUUGCAGUUAAAAAGCUCGUAGUUGAAUUUCGGGGUUAGUAGGUUGGUCAUGCCUCUGGUAUGUACUGGUCUCACUGAUUCCUCCUUCCUGAUGAGCCGUAAUGCCAUUAAUUUGGUGUUGCGGGGAAUUUGGACUGUUACUUUGAAAAAAUUAGAGUGUUUAAAGCAAGCUAACGCUUGAAUACAUUAGCAUGGAAUAAUGAAAUAGGACGUUCGAUCCUAUUUUGUUGGUUUCUAGGAUUGACGUAAUGAUUAAUAGGGAUAGUUGGGGGCAUUAGUAUUCAAUUGUCAGAGGUGAAAUUCUUGGAUUUAUUGAAGACUAACUACUGCGAAAGCAUUUGCCAAGGAUGUUUUCAUUAAUCAAGAACGAAAGUUAGGGGAUCGAAGACGAUCAGAUACCGUCGUAGUCUUAACCAUAAACUAUGCCGACUAGGGAUCGGAUGAUGUUAAUUUUUUAAUGACUCAUUCGGCGCCUUACG
rnacentral:sRNA from 2 species